UGAAAAGUCAGCAUUCAGUUUUUGUUGUUGGUGGUGGUUCUUGAAGAUAAUGUCUUUUUUACUGUGGCUAUACCUCUAAUUUUCACUUUUCUCAGGUUUUUCAGUAGUUUGACUAUGAGAUGCCUUAGUAUGGUUUUCUUUUAUUACCUUGCUUGGUGUUGCUGAGAUUUUCAGAUCCAUGGUUUGAAGUCUUUUCCAGUUUUGGAACUUUCUUGGCAAUUCUUUCUUCUGCCCCAUAUAUUGCUUCCACCCCAAUCUCUCUCCUCUCCUCCUAGGACUUUAAACACACAUAUUAAGUUUUUUGAUGAUGUGCCCCAUGUGUGUCUUAUAGUAUUGUUUUUUUCUCUCUCUGCUUCAGUUCAGGAAGAGAAAAUCAUAAAGCUGAACAAUCUCAGAGGAGGCAGCACUGAAUCUCAUCCAGCAUCUAGAUCUAACUACUACUUUACAAAAAGUGCAGAGGACGUUUACAUGACACCACCAGUGUGCAAUCAGCAAACUCAGAACAUGGAAAACGCCAUAAGACGAAAGACCUGGUUUCUUCAACAAAUACAAUUUAAGGGAAAAGAGAGGGCGACUAUAGAUGAAAAAGGACCCAGAGAUACAUCAGCAGGUACAAUGUAUGCACUUUGGACCUGGCUCGAACAGACUCCCAAAAAGAAAUGUGAACACUGACUGGGUAUCUGCUGAUGUUGAAGAAAUGCUGCUCAUUUUUUUUUAGGGGAAGCUUAAAUACUUCAUGAAACAUUUAGACC
rnacentral:lncRNA from 1 species